UCACAAUCCCACCAACAGUGCCCAAGGGUUCCCUUUUCUCCAGAUCAUACCAACACUUGUAAUCUUUUGUCUUUGUGAUAAUGUAACGCCUAAGGUUCUUGCCUAACCACGCCAAAGAAUUGGUGUGGCGGCUGACCGUGUUGAGUGAUAGAGACACGACCGAGAGAGAGAGAGAGAGAGAGAGAGAGAGAGAGAGAGAGAGAGAGAGCAGUAGGUUUUACUGAGCAGAGCAAGAGUACAAAGCUUCCAAGGCGUGGAAGGGGUCCCGAACGGGUAGCCAGAGUUAGCUUAUACGAUUGCCUUUUAAACUCUUUAAGGCGGGAAAUACGUGCAGCGGGAAGAUGUUACCAGAGCGAGAAACAAAGGCAGUAAACUAUUUUGUGACAUGUCCUAGAUUUUGAGGAAGACCGGAAUUGCAGCUUAGGUUUUAUCUACUUUAUGACCUUGCAGCGGCAUGGCAAAGGAGACAGGAUCUUACAGGACUUUACAAGGAGACAGCAAAAUCAACCCUGUCUGUACUUCCUCCUCAGGCUACUCAAUGUGAAGACUAUGAGGAUAAAAAUUUUAUGGUGAUUCACUUCCACUUAAUGAAAGGCAGGUUGAACACCGCUCUGGAAGCCCACAGUCCAGAGGCACGAUGCCAGCACUCAAGUGAUCAUCCAUAAACCACGGAAUACAUGCAGCCUCUAGAAGCUGGAAGGAAAUGGAUUAUCCCGUAGAGCCUCCAGAAAGGAAUGCAACCCUGACAGCAAGAUCUGUCCAGACUCAACUUCCAAAACUAUGAAGUCAGAAGUGUGAUCUGAAAUAGAGCUUCUAGCGACCUGCAGGAGCAUUGAGUGACCAAGUGGGAUGCCUGGAGUGUAUUGUAUCCAUUGCGCUCUCACAGCCGCUGGGAAUCGUGGCAAGUUCUCUCUGGGAUACUGAAGCUCGACAGAUUUGUGUUUUGAACUAUCCAAGUUUAUUUGAACGAAAUUUUUGAUCCAAACUUUCUUCAGAAGUCUCAACAGAAAAUGAACUGGGUCCAGAAUUAGAUUCAAUCUGUAAACUAAAAAUAAAAUUCUAAGGCCCCCAACCAACUGAAUGGACCCCUUCUCUCAGCCAAGGGCAUUUUAAAGUUAACCUGAAAAACUAGUUCAGGCCAUGAUGGAAACAGAGGUUCCAUAUACCUCAUUAUACUUUCCUCCCUUUGGAAUUCAGGCACAACUGACCAGCGUUAACAUUAAAACAAAGAUCUAAAACCGGCAAAACAGACUCUUUGUAGCAAUAAGAUACCAAAUUCCAAUCUGACCUACUAUAGACUCACAUGACAGAUAACAGGCCCUGAAAGAAAUGAAAGCAUUUUAUCCAAAAAUAUUUUUCCAUGACAUAUUUUAAAAUGGCUUUGCAAAGCUGUCUUGUGUGUGGGGGGGGAAACUUACAGUCUGUAGAGAAUCUCCUUCCCUUACUAGGUCUUUUCAGGGGAGUCUAGCACCUUUUAGUGUCUGAUAAGAAGACCUUUAACAUCUAUUGUCUCUGAAGCCUGCUAAUUAGAGGCUUCAUCUGCAUAACAAGAAGUUUGGUUUCCACAGUCUCUUUUAUCUUGACCCCACGCAUUUUUUUUUUCUGCUAACUUCAACUCUUUAGCCAAAAUUAAACUCUUUCAACCAACUGCCAGUCAGGAAAUCUUUGAGUCCACCUAUGGCCUGGAAGCCCCCAUUUUGAGAUGGCCUGCCUUUCCAGAAUAAAUCAAUGUACACCUUACAUAUACUAAUUGAUAUUUGCCUAUAACUUCUGCCCUCCUAAAAUGUAUAAAAUCAAGCUGUGACCCCAACACUUGGGCCAUGUUCCCAGGACCUCGUGAGGCUUUGUCGUGGGCAUGUCCUUAACCUUGGCAAAAUAAACUUCUAAAUUAACUGAGACUUGUCUCAGAUAUUUUUUGGCUUAAAGAUCCUAAAAAUAACUGGCUUGGAUCCAGUUAUAAACCCCUUAUGUCUGACUGGGUCAGAUUAAAAACCAAUAGUAAAUGGUAACAUUGCAGGAGGUGCAAACUUUAGCAUUUAGAAAUUUGCAGAGAUUUUUGUAUUUUAACUCCUUUCUUUCUUGUGUGCUUAUAUGAGGAAAGACAUCGGCUAAGUUGAUU
rnacentral:lncRNA from 10 species